UCAUUAUGUCCUAAAAUUCUGGGCAUGGACGAAAUCUAGCCUUUGUCACAGGUUCUACCUCAGGGAUUUUGGUGCCAGUAUACCUUGUGAUAGAAUUGGGUUGUGGGCAGCUAUUUGGUUUUCUCCCUUUACCCACUUACUAAGUUUUUUCUCCAGCAUUUGGAACUACAUAAAUACAUAUCGAUAUCCAGGUAAGAUCUAGUUAGUAAAGUCAACCAGUGUUUCACAGCAGGCACUGCAGAUUUUUGUUUUUAUAAUUGAAUGUGCAGAAUAUGUCACUUAACAUUCCAGUUGGCCACUAGGGGGCACUGUGGACUACUUUUUGUGCAGGUGCGGGUUUCUUACACAGCCAAAUUAAACCCCUAGGAAUAAUGCCCUCGGCUGGAUUAGGAGCUGGAGUAAAUGCAGCUUAGCAGGGGCAAGAGGAGACACAGAGGCCUGAUUUGCUGCUGCUGCUGCUGCUGCUGCUGCUAGGUUUUCCUGGGUUUAUCACUCCCUCCACACCAUGUGCUUCUACAUCAGGCUUCUGGUCUCGUUGCACCCCACCUGCUGCAGAAGAACAGAUCCCUGGCCUCAAACAGAUAGGAGAUGAGUGUCAGAUUGAGGUUGAGGGCAGGAGUCAGCCUUGGCACAGAGAGCAGGACAGGAGCUGAUAGAGAAAGAUAAAGGCGGAAAGGGAGUGGCUCACAAACCUGAAGCUACAGAGUCCAGACAGCUGCCUUUGGCAGUUGCUGUCUUAACCAUCGAUCUGUGCUCAGCUGUUAAGGCCAUUUGUCUUUACCAACCAUGGCCAAUAAUCAUAGUGUAUUCUGUCUUCUAGUCCAGGUUUAAAGUCCUUGGCAGGUAUGUGGAAGAGUGGAGAAAAAUCUUUAUGAAAUGAGACCAGGUUCAAUGAAAUAAAUGCAUCAGAUAUUCAGAGGAGAUUGCUAAUGUGAUAUUCCCUUCUUAGUAAUAUUUAGACUGAAGAUCACAAAGUAAUUGCAAAGGAGACUACUUUCUUACAGUGCAGCAUGGCUUUCAGUUUUAGUACUGAGGAAAUAAUGCUCCAAUUUGCGUAAUGCUGGUUGGUCAGUGUUUCUUAGGGGAAUUCCAAACUGUCACUUCAAAACCGAAUGUUCUAUGAAUUUUCAAUGGAGAAGACAGUUAUGAUUUAAUUAUGAUUCCUUUUGGAAUUAAGAGGGGUGCAAAUCAACGUGAAUUUUUAAGUUUUUUCGUUAAUAUUUAUUGUAAGACAUUUGCAUAGGAAAUGUGGAGAAUGGAGUUUGAAACAUAACCUCACCAACCAGCAUGGCUGCUAAUAGUUUGGGUGUGUUUUCAUGGGAGCAAUGUUUAAACAUAGUCAAGAUCAUCCUGUUUACUGAUGUGUAUCAUGCUGCUUUCAGUUUAUCAUAAACAACUGUGUUCCUAGAAACCAUUCACAAGGAUGGCUGAGAAUGGCUGCAGAAUAUUUCAUCAGAUCAAUAUAAGCAGGCCACCAAAUAAUGGUCUGUAUUGGGACUCUGUUGCUAGUGACAAGAAACCCAAGUCAAAGUCAUUUAAGCAAAAAGAAUUACUCAGAACUCAGCCUUCGUUUCCUGGCUCCUCUUUCUGCCAUGUUGGUUUUGAUUGCAGCUAGCAAUCUUAUAGCAAAGAGGUUAUGUCCUUCCUAUCUGGGACCUAGCUGUUCCCGAAUAAUCACUGUGUCUGGAAAUGGGGUGCGCUCUUUGGCCAAACCUGAGUCAUGUGUCUUCUCGUGGAGUUGUGUGUUCACUCAGCACCAUCAGAAUCACAGAGACUGGGGGGAUGUAGAAGGGGUCUCCUGCAAGAAAAGAGUGAUCAUGUGAACUAAAGGAACACUGAGCAGGCAAAAACCAAAGGCUACUAGCAUUUUCUCCAGUUUUUGAACACUUAGGUUGCUUUCAGUUUUUUCCUGUUAUUUAAGUGCAUAAAAUACGUUCUACAUUUUUGUUUAUUUCCUUAGAUUCCCAGCAGUGGAAUUCCCAAGCCAAAAGCUUUUGGUACAUGUUAUUAAUUGCUUUUAAGAAUGUAUAUCACUUUUUCACAACGGGUUUGCCGCCAGAACACAGGUGUCAUGAAAACUACCCCUAAAUGCCAAAAUGGGAAAGGCAAAGUCUCAUAUCAACAUUGUCAUCAUUGGACACGUAGAUUUGGGCAAGUCUGCCAUUACUGGCCAUCUAAUCUACAAAUGUGAUGGCAUCGACAAAAGAACCAUUGAAAAAUUUGAGAAGGAAGCUGCUGAGAUGGGAAAGCGCUCCUUCAAGUAUGCCUGGGUCUUGGAUAAACUGAAAGCUGAGCGUGAACAUGGGAUCACCAUUGUUACCUCCUUGUAGAAAUUUAAGACCAGCAGGUACUACAUGACUAUCAUUGAUGCCCCAGGACACAGAGACUUCAUCAAAAACAUGAUUACAGGGACAUCUCAGGCUGACCGUGCUGUCCUGAUUGUUGCGGCUGAUGUUGGUGAAUUCGAAGCUGGUAUCUCCUAGAAUGGGCAGACCCAAGAGCAUGCCCUUCUGGCUUACAUCCUGGGCACGAAACGAUUGUUGGUGUUAACAAAACGGACUCCACUGAGCCACCUGACAGCCAGAAGAGAUACGAGGAAAUCGUUAAGGAAGUCAGCACUUACAUUAAGAAAAUUGGCUACAACCCCGACACAGGAGCAUUCAUGCCAAUUUCUGGUUGGAAUGGUGACAGCAUGCUGGAGCCAAGUGCUAACAUGCCUUGGUCCAAGGGUUGGAAAGUCACCCAUAAGGAUGGCAAUGCCAGUGGAACCUGCUGCUUGAGGCUCUGGACUGCAUCCUACCACCAACUCAUCGAACUGACAAGCCCUUGCGCCUGCCUCUCCAGGAUGUCUAUAAAAUUGGUGGCAUUGGUACUGUUCCUGUUGGCCGAGUGGAGACUGGUGUUCUCAAACCUGGUAUGGUGGUCACCUUUGCUCCGGUCAACGUUACAACUGAAGUAAAAUCUGUCAAAAUACACCAUGAAGCUUUGAGUGAAGCUCUUCCUGGGGACAAUGUGGGCUUCAAUGUCAAGAAUGUGUCUGUCACGGAUGUUCGUUGUGGCAACGUUGCUGGUGACAGCCAGAACGACCCACCAAUGGAAGCAGGCGUCACCGCUCAGGUGGCAAUCCUGAACCAUCCAGGCCAGAUCAGCGCUGGCUAUGCCCCUGUACUGGAGGGCCACAUGGCUCACACUGCCUGCAAGUUUGCUGAGCUGAAGAAAAAGAUUGAUCGCUCUUCUGGUAAAAGGCUGGAAGAUGGUCCUAAAUUAUUGAAGUCCGGUGAUGGUGCCAUCAUUGAUAUGGUUCCUGGCAAGCCCAUACGUGUUGAGAGCUUCUCAGACUGUCCAGCUCUGUGUCACUUUGCUGUUCGUGAUAUGAGACAGACAGUUGCGGUGGGUGUCCUCAAGCAGUGCACAAGAAGGCUGCAGGACUUGGCAAGGUCACCAAGUCUGCCCGGAAAGCUCAGAAGGCUAAAUGAAUAUUAUCCCUAAUACCUGCCACCUCAGUCUUAAUCAGUGGUGGAGGAAGAACGGUCUCAGAACUGUGUUUCAAUUGGCCAUUUAAAUUUAGUAGUAAAAGACUGGUUAAUGAUAACAAUGCAUCGUAAAACCUUCAGAAGGAAAGGAGAAUGUUUUGUGGACCACUUUGGUUUUCUUUUUUGCUUGUGGCAGUUUUAAGUUAUUAGUUUUUAAAAUCAGUACUUUUUAAUGGGAACAACUUGACCAAAAAUUUGUCACAGGAUUUUGAGGCCCAUUGAAGUUUAAUGAGAAAAAAAAAAGUGUAUAUCAAUUAUAAUGCCUAGUAUUUGUUUUAACACAUUCCAGUGAAGAAAAAAGUAUAAGAGAUUAGAUAAGAAAUGGUAACAGUUGAAGGUAGGUGAUGUGUCUGGAGAUUAAUUUUGUUAUUCUCUUUUGUGUAUGUCUGAAAAUUGUAUAAAGAUUUCUAAAUUGAAUUGGAAAAAAAAAUGAAGAAUUGGAGAUCUAGAGAGAUUAAGUGACUUUCCCAAGCCCACCCAGUUCUGGUCUUCAGGCUCUGAAUCCUGGCCACUUCUUUUACUCCACACCAAAUUGGCCUGUGGUCAUAUUGUUUGAGACACAGAUUAUUCCAGCGUAAGGCUUCCUGGUGCUUCUUUACCCUCCUCAUGCCAAGGCAGGAAUGUAGAGCUAACCUGUUUGUGGGUGGGGAGGGGCAUGAGCAGUGGGUGCUAGGAGGCUAGACAGCAAGAUUGACUUGGUGAUUUAGGAGUUCACUAGAGAUUUCUUGAAAUGAUGUUUUCAGUAAAAUUUUGGAAAAUAUAAUAAUGGGGGAGGGGGAAAACUGAUACCAGUUAACAGCCCUGCAAGCACUGUAUGGAAGUGCUCACUCGGUGAUGGAUUAAAAUAGGGUGUUAUUUUAAUUGGCAAUUCUUGAGGUUACUAAUAACAUUAAACAUUAAAAUUUCUUUUUGCUUAUUUUU